rnacentral:rRNA from 1 species
AGUGGCGAACGGGUGAGUAAUACAUAAGCAAUCUGCCCAUCGGCUUGGGAUAACAGUUGGAAACGACUGCUAAUACCGGAUAGGUGAUAGGGAGGCAUCUCUCGAUCAUUAAAGUUGGGAUACAACACGGAUGGAUGAGCUUAUGGCGUAUUAGCUAGUAGGUGAGGUAACGGCUCACCUAGGCGAUGAUACGUAGCCGACCUGAGAGGGUGACCGGCCACAUUGGGACUGAGACACGGCCCAAACUCCUACGGGAGGCAGCAGUAGGGAAUUUUCGGCAAUGGGCGAAAGCCUGACCGAGCAACGCCGCGUGAGUGAAGAAGGCCUUCGGGUUGUAAAGCUCUGUUGUGAAGGAAGAACGGCUCAUACAGGGAAUGGUAUGGGAGUGACGGUACUUUACCAGAAAGCCACGGCUAACUACGUGCCAGCAGCCGCGGUAAUACGUAGGUGGCGAGCGUUAUCCGGAAUUAUUGGGCGUAAAGGGUGCGCAGGCGGUUUUUUAAGUUUAAGGUGAAAGCGUGGGGCUUAACCCCAU